UACGUAGGGGGCAAGCGUUGUCCGGAUUUAUUGGGCGUAAAGAGCGUGUAGGCGGUCAGGUAGGUCCGUUGUGAAAACUCGAGGCUCAACCUCGAGACGCCGAUGGAAACCAUCUGACUAGAGUCCGGAAGAGGAGAGUGGAAUUCCUGGUGUAGCGGUGAAAUGCGCAGAUAUCAGGAAGAACACCCGUGGCUAAGGCGGUCUCUCGUAGGUACGGUCACUGACGCGAGACGCGAAAGCUGGGGAGCAACGGAUUAGAA
rnacentral:rRNA from 1 species